UAAUUUAAGCUAAUAAAAUAAUAAAUGUUUUGUUAUAUAUAAAGGGAUAACUUUUUAUGUUUAUAUCAUGCAAAGGAGGAAAAAUAUGGCUCAAAUUCUCUUUUAUGUUUAUGCUUUGAUCAUUCUUUUUUCUCCAUUUCUUGCUGCACUAGUGAUAAUAGAUCACCAUAAACCAUGUGUUUCUGACACCGAUUGUGCAUUUUAUUUAGAUAUACCACCUACUGUUAAGUAUUGCAGUGAUGGCUUAUGUGCGUGGUAUUUCCCUGAUAACCCCUUGCCCUAAGCCUAUAUAUAUAUAUAUAUAUAUAUAUGUGUGUGUGUGUGUGUGUGUCUUGUAGCCACAACCACCCAUACCCCUAUAAGUACUUAACUUCAUCUAUCACCAAAGGUAGUUGGUUUAGCUGUGAUUUUGAUCCGAAAUCACCCAUUUUAAUCAUUUUGUUCUUUCUUUUUUAUUUAAACAUGUGAUCUUCCAAUAUAUUUAGUUAUUUUUCGUGAUUUCUUUAUCUUAGAGUGAUGUUCGUCUUCUUGGUGUGAUUUUAUUUUGUUUUCUCGUCGUCUUGUUGUGGUGUUAGUUUCCUUCAGAUUGUUAGAUCAACUUCGAUCAAGUGUAGAUCCAAUCAAUGUCUAUUCUUGAGAUAUGGCUUCAGAUGAGCUUCGAUCAAGUACAUCUUCAUUACAAAUGCAGAGAUAUGGCUAUUCCAGACAAUUGAAUAUAGUCAUAUUUGUAGGCUUAUGUAUUUUACCAUUUUAUGUUAUGAACAUGAAUGUUAUGAGUUUAUUCGGAAAUUCAUCAUUUUAAUUUUUAACGAA